rnacentral:tRNA from 1 species
GGUAAAAUGGCUGAUUAUAGGCAAUAAAUUGUAAAUUUAUGUAUGAGGUUAUCUCUUUUAUCA